rnacentral:rRNA from 1 species
GCAGACUACACUCGUUCCGAGACCUAGACACUAUGGAACUGAAGUCCCUUGAAAUCUCAUUUCACUAGUGAGGAACAGACCCUGUACUUUCCUAAGGUACUAUUCACAUGUCACGGAUCCAGCCGGAGAUCUACGUGCUCGAUUCAGCACUUGUGCAUCAUGUGCGGCGCGUCAUAGUUGAUUGAAUCUGCGCCUCCCGUGAGGGAUUGUAAUGGUACUGAGCCUAGGGCGAUGCAUCCAACGUAGCCUGAAUCUAGGAUGGCUGCCAGGUAUGAGCGGUUCCUCUGCCUUACUGACUUGAGCAGUACAGGCGAGAGAUCCCGUUCAAUGCUUCCUCCAAUCCGUAGCAUUAUGCCAGCUUGGAUUCUUCACCCUUUCGGCCCCAAUUCCCCUGAUUCCCUUGCCCUGGGAGGUGGUCCCAGGGCUUAACUCAAAGGAAAAGAACCGGCCCCCCCAAGUUGUGGACCAAUAUUUCAGUUAAAAGCUACCCCCAGAACUUACCGGGUCUUGUCGUACCUUGGAGGCGGUACUUUUUAAUUAUGCACCCCCAGGCAACGGUAAGAGCGGCGUACUUUUUCUUCCCCACAAAAGAGAGUUCGUGGCUAAAUUCCCCCUACGACAGGCACCCUUGCUCUUUGUUGCCUUCACCCAUUGUGGGAACUUUACUACACUGCCGCCCACAAGCAGGAGGAAGGUGUCUCAGUCGUCAGUGUGGCCGACCCCCCUCUCAGCUGGGCUACGCAUCGUCGACAUGGUGAGACGUAACCUCACCACCUAUCGCGAGAGGCACGGGACCAUCCAAAAUCGACAGCCGAAACCGUCUUUCAAUAUUACUCCAUGAGGUGAAACAGAUUAUUCGGUAUUAGCCGCGGUUUCCCGGAGUUAUCCCAAACUAUAAGGUAGGUUGCCCCCGUGUUACUCACCCGUCCGCCGCUAACGUCAAAGGACAAGCUACAGGCUCCCUCGCUCGACUACAGUACGACCGUAAUGUUCCAC